rnacentral:rRNA from 1 species
UACGAAGGGGGCUAGCGUUGUUCGGAAUUACUGGGCGUAAAGCGUUUGUAGGCGGUUAUUCAAGUCAGUGGUGAAAUCCUGGGGCUCAACCUCAGAAUUGCCAUUGAAACUGGAUAGCUAGAGAAUGUUAGAGGAAAGUGGAAUUCCUAGUGUAGGAGUGAAAUCCGUAGAGAUUAGGAGGAAUAUCGAUGGCGAAGGCAGCUUUCUGGGAGCAUUUCUGACGCUGAGAAACGAAGCGUGGGUAGCAAACAGG